CAGCAGCCGCGGUAAUACGUAGGUGGCAAGCGUUGUCCGGAAUUAUUGGGCGUAAAGGGCUCGCAGGCGGUUUCUUAAGUCUGAUGUGAAAGCCCCCGGCUCAACCGGGGAGGGUCAUUGGAAACUGGGAAACUUGAGUGCAGAAGAGGAGAGUGGAAUUCCACGUGUAGCGGUGAAAUGCGUAGAGAUGUGGAGGAACACCAGUGGCGAAGGCGACUCUCUGGUCCGUAACUGACGCCGAGGAGCGAAAGCGUGGGGAGCGAACAGGAUUAGAUACCCCGGUAGUCCCUGUCUCUUAUAC
rnacentral:rRNA from 1 species